AACUUUAUUUAAGCAGGGAGUCAUGCUGAGACCAUGGUCUCUUUUGCAGAUGAGCCCUGCAUGAACAUCAAUCAACAACAAUUACACUAAACAUAUCUAUAUACACAUCAAUUACACUAAACAUAUCUAUAUACACAUCAAUUACACUAAACAUAUCUGUAUACACAUCAAUUACACUAAACAUAUCUACACAAUACAUACAUAUAAAUAAAUACAUGAAAGCAAACACAAAAAUCUACCUAAUGAUGAUUUCAGCAACCAUAUUGAUUUCAACUGUCAAGUAUUGACCCAUCAGUGCAGAUGAAAGGGAUGGAGAGAACAGAUCCUCAAGCAAUUGAGAUACAAGACAACAAUCAAUGCAAAACACAACAUUUUAUAAAUAAUUGCUUAGGAAAUAGCUGCCUAUAUGUAAUUAUUUUAAAAUGCAAGGAUGAACUAAAUAGAUUUCCUCUCUUCUAACUAAUGGAAAAUGAUUGCACUUUGUUAUUAACCUGUUUAUUGUUAUGAAUGAACCUGUCCAUCAUAACCCCCAUUUGCACACAAUACUAGUCUACUUUCCUGUUUUCAAUGCUAUACUUCACCAACUAGAAACUUUGCGUAGGCAUGGUCUAAAGUUUGUGGGAAGGUGAGCACAUUUUCAUGUCAAGUUCAGAUUUUAUAAAUUACAAUUUUUGUUUUAAAACUGUCACACGCAGGUUUUAUGGUCCAUUUUGUACAUAUGCACGGUUUAUAAAUUAGGCUCCAGACCGGGUUUGAAAAAUUCCUCCUUAAGUUGGACAUUUUCUCGAAAUCGAAAGGCACAACCUAGAUUGGAGCCAAUGCCUUAAGUAGUUGAACAUGUUAUUACUCAAACCUCGUGAAAGUGACAAAUUCACACGUUUACAUUUUCGUCAAAAAUAAUUUUAUAUCGAAGGAGGGCCUUUGAGUUGACAUGUUGCACAUGCGCAGUUCAGCUCUAGACGACCGUUACACCCGAUGACGUGUUUCUACGCAUGAGUUUGGCAAGCCAAAGUUGCCAUGACAUCGCCUACAAUUGUGAUCGAGGAUUUCUAUUGGUGAAGCAGUUUAGUCUGUCUUCAUACUGUGCUGUCUUUGGUAGAACGGACUUUGCUCAAUGUACAAGGCUACGUCACCACAAGAUGGCAGCAUUCUCUAAUAAUAAUUUGCCAAGUUCUGUUUCAUACUUCUCAAACUAACUUAAACUUUCUGUGAUUUAAUUCAGCAAGAUCAUUUACAAAUUUAAAGGUUAUUUUUUAUUAUGAUUCAGUUCACUUUUAUUCACAUUGAUGGUGGUGACUAACUCAGGGGUGGCCAGCCAACGUACAUUAUAUUUAUUAACUGCGCAGUGUAUGCAAUAUUUAAGCAGAAUAUAAUAGAGCUAUUCUUACUAUGCAGUACAUGUACUAAAAUACAUUAAGUCAACAGGUCUAUUCAUCUCAAUACUUCAAAACUCCUAAAAACGUCACAAGUCCAGUAUGUGGGUCUUCCAGUGAGUUGGAGAGGAUUGAGGAACCAUGGCACAGUUUGGAACCUUGAUAUGGACUGUGAGGAAAACAUUUCUGAUUUGCACAUUUUGUGGCUUUGCAUCAUUUUACUAGCCUUGUACGCCGGGAAACAGAAUAUACAUAUUAUGUUGGUGCUUGAAAGCAUUGGAUCCUGUAUUGCAUGUGGUAGAGCCGAGUACAGAAUAGGGGAUGAAUGUUGUCCCAUGUGUUCACCAGGAAAUCGUGUACAUAGGCAUUGUACUGAAUUCACCAGCACCAGCUGUGUGCCCUGUGUUGAUUCUACAUUCCUUGAUGAGCCCAAUGGUCUCAUAAAAUGCAAAGUGUGUACCAACUGUGAUCCAGGUUUGGGUUUGAUGGUAAAGCAGCCAUGUACACCUUCAUCAGACACUGUUUGUGGGACACUGGAGGGGUUCUACUGUCUAGACCCAACUAAGGAUGGUUGUAGAGCAGCCCAGAGACACCGCAGCUGUAAACCUGGUCAAUACAUCAGCCACACAGGAACAACAUCUACAGAUACUGUGUGUUCUGACUGCCCUGGUAAAACUUAUUCAGAUGGAUCAUUAACAUCUUGUCAACAACACACAGAAUGUGAAUUCUUGGAAAUAAAACCAGGAACUCCUUGGUCGGAUUCAGAAUGUGGAGUAGCCUCACUUCCCAUAGUUGGAAUCAUAGCUGGUGUUCUCAUGUGUUUUUUUCUGAUAGCCACCAUAGCUGGUGUUUGUUUAUUUAUAAUGAUAAAAAGACAAAUGGUGAGAAGAGAAAUAGUGAGAACAAGACCAAACUCAGACCCUCAAAUACCUACACAGGUAUGUUUGGAAAUCUAUGAAUAUAUUUCAUCACAUUGUACUACUUUGUGCUUUCUUCUGACUGACAUUUUAAUUUAUUGGGCCAGUUUCCCAGACAGAGAUUAUGCCUAGUAUUGGAAUAAAAAGCAUUUUAAAUGGAAAGUCUUCAUUGAAUGUGCCUCUUAGUCCAGGACUGAGUGUAAUCUCUGUCCGGGAAACCGCCCAAUGUGUUUAACUAAUUUCUGAUUCCAUUUGAUAGGCAUCCCCAGAUCAGGAAAUACCAAUGCUGUCUGGGGGAACUGGAAAAGAUUCAAGCCCCCGUCACAGUCAGGGACUCGACAUUCUGUAAUCUGUGGUCCACUGGCUGGCUGGUCCAGCCAUCUCUAGUGUAUCUUAACACUACAUGUUAAAUGUGAUAUUGUAGAAUCUGGUUGAUAUAAAAACAGGAUUCUACACCACAUUCAAUUGUAGAGUAAAGAAAUGAAAAACACUUUGAAACCCAACCUCCAGUUAGAAGAAUAUGACUUCUAGAUACCUGUUGGGAGAGGACCACAGUGUCUUUGUACCACAUGGGGAUGUUUAAAACUUACUCCUCAGCCUGAACUGUUCCCACUUGUGUCAGCGAAUAACUAGCUUUUUGUGUGGGCGCCACUGGUAAGAUGCUUCAGAAGGGCAGAAACAUAUCAGCUUCUGCCUACAGCCUACAGACUGGUCUAAAAUGAAAAGGACCAUGUGAUGAGUAUAAAUUAGCUUCACCUUGCUAGGAAACAGAUUUAGAAGCUGUUUCCCCUCUUCCCAGGGGAAAGUCAAAUGUGUUCAUAACUUCAGGACCACAACGUCUGUCAGCCCAGACUAUGGAACUUCAAAUGGGACUUGAUAAUAUCUUGAGACACAGAUUACUGGUGCAGGAUGCACUGGUCUAAUGUCCAUUGCUUGUUUCUUGGCCCAAGCAAGUCUCUUCUUAUUGGUGUCCUUUAGUGGUUUCUUUGGAGAAAUUCGACCAUGAAGGCAUGA